rnacentral:ncRNA from 1 species
AUAAAGACUAUGAUCAGAAAUCUAGGUUAUCAACUUCUACAGAGAAUCAUCAAUUUGGUGGAAUGAUGAUGUUGGCGAUGCUUAGUUCACAUCUGGGAGUCAUUUUCCUGAAAGCUUUAGUAGGGAAAAACGGUGAGCACGUUAUUGCUGAAGUUUAGUUACUAAACUCUUGAGGUCUACGCUGUAGACGAACAUGAGGUGGCACCACGAUUUAACAAUCGUCCUCUUA